AUUGAACGCUGGCGGCAUGCCUUACACAUGCAAGUCGAACGGUAACGGGCCUUCGGGUGCCGACGAGUGGCGAACGGGUGAGUAAUGUAUCGGAACGUACCUUUCAGUAGGGGAUAACGUAGCGAAAGUUACGCUAAUACCGCAUAUUCUGUGAGCAGGAAAGCAGGGGAUCGCAAGACCUUGCGCUGAUUGAGCGGCCGAUAUCAGAUUAGCUAGUUGGUGAGGUAAAGGCUCACCAAGGCGACGAUCUGUAGCGGGUCUGAGAGGAUGAUCCGCCACACUGGAACGGAGACACGGGCCAGACUCCUAGGGGAGGCAGCAGUGGGGAAUUUUGGACAAUGGGCGCAACCCUGAUCCAGCCAUGCCGCGUGAGUGAAGAAGGCCUUCGGGUUGUAAAGCUCUUUCGGCCGGGAAGAAAUCGUAUCAGCUAAUACCUGGUGCGGAUGACGGUACCGGCAUAAGAAGCACCGGCUAACUACGUGCCAGCCGCCGCGGUAAAAC
rnacentral:rRNA from 1 species